AGCGAACGCUAGCGGCAGGCCUAAUACAUGCAAGUCGAACGGGAUUAAGAGGCUUGCUUCUUAUGAGAGUGGCGCACGGGUGCGUAACACGUAUGCAACCUACCUUCAACUGGGGGAUAGCCUUCCGAAAGGGAGAUUAAUACCGCAUAAAAUAAUUGAGUGGCAUCACUUGAUUAUCAAACGUCAGGGUUGAAGAUGGGCAUGCGUCCGAUUAGUUUGUUGGUGAGGUAACGGCUCACCAAGACUACGAUCGGUAGGGGAUCUGAGAGGAUGGCCCCCCACACUGGUACUGAGACACGGACCAGACUCCUACGGGAGGCAGCAGUAAGGAAUAUUGGUCAAUGGACGGAAGUCUGAACCAGCCACGCCGCGUGCAGGAAGACGGUCCUCUGGAUUGUAAACUGCUUUUGUUAGGGAAGAAACUUCCGUACGUGUACGGGACUGACGGUACCUAAAGAAUAAGGAUCGGCUAACUCCGUGCCAGCCGCCGCCGUAACAC
rnacentral:rRNA from 1 species